rnacentral:rRNA from 1 species
GAUGAACGCUGGCGGUCUGCUUAACACAUGCAAGUCGAACGAACUCUUCGGAGUGAGUGGCGGACGGGGUGAGUAACGCGUGAGAAUCUGCCUGUGGUCGGGGACAACUACUGGAAACGUGGCUAAUACCGGAUGAGCCGAAAAGGUAAAAGAUUUAUUGCCCACAGAUGAGCUACGCGGUCUGAUUAGCUAGUUGGUAAGUAAAAGCGUACCAAGGCGACGAUCAGUAGCUGGUCUGAGAGGAUGAGCAGCCACACUGGGACUGAGACACGGCCCAGACU